rnacentral:rRNA from 1 species
UGGGGAAUAUUGCACAAUGGGCGAAAGCCUGAUGCAGCAACGCCGCGUGAGUGAUGAAGGUCUUCGGAUUGUAAAGCUCUGUCUUUUGGGACGAUAAUGACGGUACCAAAGGAGGAAGCCACGGCUAACUACGUGCCAGCAGCCGCGGUAAUACGUAGGUGGCGAGCGUUGUCCGGAUUUACUGGGCGUAAAGGGUGCGUAGGCGGAUGUUUAAGUGAGAUGUGAAAUACCCGGGCUUAACUUGGGUGCUGCAUUUCAAACUGGAUAUCUAGAGUGCAGGAGAGGAGAAUGGAAUUCCUAGUGUAGCGGUGAAAUGCGUAGAGAUUAGGAAGAACACCAGUGGCGAAGGCGAUUCUCUGGACUGCAACUGACGCUGAGGCACGAAAGCGUGGGUAGCAAACAGGAUUAGAUACCCUGGUAGUCCACGCCGUAAACGAUGAGUACUAGGUGUAGGAGGUAUCGACCCCUUCUGUGCCGCAGUAAACACAUUAAGUACUCCGCCUGGGAAGUACGAUCGCAAGAUUAAAACUCU